rnacentral:rRNA from 1 species
UACGUAGGGGGCAAGCGUUGUCCGGAAUUAUUGGGCGUAAAGAGCGUGUAGGCGGCCAGAUAAGUCCGCUGUGAAAUCUCGAGGCUCAACUUCGAGCUGUCGGUGGAAACUAUCUGGCUAGAGUCCGGAAGAGGAGAAUGGAAUUCCCGGUGUAGCGGUGAAAUGCGCAGAUAUCGGGAGGAACACCAAUUGCGAAGGCAGCUCGCUGGGACGUUACUGACGCUGAGACGCGAAAGCGUGGGGAGCAAACAGG